GGGUCAAUGGGGAUGGUUGACUGAAGGAUAUGCCGCGGUUCAGUGGGCAACCGCGGCAUAUUCUUUCGUUUUAUUUACAAAACUGCCACUGCGCACCAUUAUGCUGCGGUUUCUGGUGAACCGUGGCAUAAUGUGCGCUGUAAAAACCCAAUUUUUUACUAGUGCAUGUUUGUCAUGAGUGAGAGGAAGAGGAAGAGGAAGCUCCAGC
rnacentral:lncRNA from 1 species